rnacentral:rRNA from 1 species
AUUGAACGCUGGCGGCAGGCUUAACACAUGCAAGUCGAACGAGUGGCGGACGGGUGAGUAAUGCUUGGGAAUCUGGCUUAUGGAGGGGGAUAACGACGGGAAACUGUCGCUAACACCGCGUACCAUAGGUUGAGCCCAAGUGGGAUUAGGUAGUUGGUGGGGUAAAGGCCUAUCAAGCUGACGAUCUCUAGCUGGUCUGAGAGGGUGAGCAGCCACACCGGGACUGAGGCACGGCCCGGAAUCCUACGGGAGGCAGCAGUGGGGAAUAAUGCGCUGUGGAGGCAACCCUGACACAGCGAUGCCGCGUGAAUGAAGAAGGCCUUCGGGUUGUAGAGGUCGGUCGGGAUUGAGGCGGUAAAUACAGAAGAAGCACCAGCUGGCUACGUGCCAGCAGCCGCGGUAAUUC